AUUGAACGCUGGCGGCAUGCCUUACACAUGCAAGUCGAACGGUAACAGGUCUUCGGAUGCUGACGAGUGGCGAACGGGUGAGUAAUACAUCGGAACGUGCCUAGUAGUGGGGGAUAACUGCUCGAAAGAGCAGCUAAUACCGCAUACGACCUGAGGGUGAAAGGGGGGGAUCGCAAGACCUCUCGCUAUUGGAGCGGCCGAUAUCAGAUUAGCUAGUUGGGGGGGUAAAGGCCUACCAAGGCAACGAUCUGUAGUUGGUCUGAGAGGACGCCCAGCCACACUGGAACUGAGACACGGCCCAGACUCCUACGGGAGGCAGCAGUGGGGAAUUUUGGACAAUGGGCGCAAGCCUGAUCCAGCAAUGCCGCGUGCAGGAAGAAGGCCUUCGGGUUGUAAACUGCUUUUGUCAGGGAAGAAAUCUUCUGGGCUAAUACCCCGGGAGGAUGACGGUACCUGAAGAAUAAGCACCGGCUAACUACGUGCCAGCCGCCGCGGUAA
rnacentral:rRNA from 1 species